GACGAACGCUGGCGGCGUGCUUAACACAUGCAAGUCGAACGGAAAGGCCCUGCUUUUGUGGGGUGCUCGAGUGGCGAACGGGUGAGUAACACGUGAGUAACCUGCCCUUGACUUUGGGAUAACUUCAGGAAACUGGGGCUAAUACCGGAUAGGAGCUCCUGCUGCAUGGUGGGGGUUGGAAAGUUUCGGCGGUUGGGGAUGGACUCGCGGCUUAUCAGCUUGUUGGUUGGGUAGUGGCUUACCAAGGCUUUGACGGGUAGCCGGCCUGAGAGGGUGACCGGGCACAUUGGGACUGAGAUACGGCCCAGACUCCUACGGGAGGCAGCAGUGGGGAAUAUUGCACAAUGGGCGGAAGCCUGAUGCAGCAACGCCGCGUGCGGGAUGACGGCCUUCGGGUUGUAAACCGCUUUCGCCUGUGACGAAGCGUGAGUGACGGUAAUGGGUAAAGAAGCACCGGCUAACUACGUG
rnacentral:rRNA from 1 species